rnacentral:piRNA from 1 species
GCUAAGGGGAGAAGUGCUGGUACAGU